rnacentral:rRNA from 1 species
GAGGAAUAUUGGUCAAUGGGCGAGAGCCUGAACCAGCCAAGUCGCGUGAAGGAAGAAGGAUCUAUGGUUCGUAAACUUCUUUUGCAGGGGAAUAAAGUGCAGGACGUGUCCUGUUUUGUAUGUACCCUGAGAAUAAGGAUCGGCUAACUCCGUGCCAGCAGCCGCGGUAAUACGGAGGAUCCGAGCGUUAUCCGGAUUUAUUGGGUUUAAAGGGUGCGUAGGUGGUUUAAUAAGUCAGCGGUGAAAGUUUGCAGCUUAACUGUAAAAAUGCCGUUGAAACUGUUAGACUUGAGUGUAAAUGAGGUAGGCGGAAUGCGUGGUGUAGCGGUGAAAUGCUUAGAUAUCACGCAGAACUCCGAUUGCGAAGGCAGCUUACCAAGCUACAACUGACACUGAAGCACGAAAGCGUGGGGAUCAAAC